GUCUUUUUGAAAAUAAUUUAAAGUCAGAUNUGCUCAAUGAAAUAUUAUAAAUAGCUGCGGUAUUUUAACCGUACAAAGGUAGCAUAAUCAAUAGUUUUUUAAUUGGAAGCUGGAAUGAAUGAUUUGAUGAAAUAAAUAUUGUCUCAAAUUUAAUAAAUUUAGAAUUUUUUUUUUAGUAAAAAAACUAAAAUUUUUUUAAAAGACGAGAAGACCCUAUAGAUUUUUAUAUAAUUUAUUUUUAUAAAAAAAUAUUUUAUAUUAAGUUGGGGAAAUUUUUAAAUUAAAUAAAUUUUAAAAAUUAAAAACAAAAAUUAUUGAUUAUUUGAUCUUAAAUUUUAGAUAAAAAGAAUAAAAUACCUUAGGGAUAACAGCGUUAUUUUUUUANAUAGUUCAUAUUAAUAAAAAAGUUUG
rnacentral:rRNA from 1 species